GAUGAACGCUAGCGGCAGGCUUAAUACAUGCAAGUCGAGGGGCAGCGCAGUGUAGCAAUACAUGGGCGGCGACCGGCAAACGGGUGCGGAACACGUACGCAAUCUACCCAAAACUGAUGAAUAGCCCUCCGAAAGGAGGAUUAAUACAUCGUAACCUAUUAGAGUAGCAUUACUUUAUUAGUAUAGCUCCGGCGGUUUUGGAUGAGCGUGCGCCUGAUUAGAUAGNGGCGGGGUAACGGCCCACCAAGUCUGCGAUCAGUAACUGGUGUGAGAGCACGACCAGUCACACGGGCACUGAGACACGGGCCCGACUCCUACGGGAGGCAGCAGUAAGGAAUAUUGGUCAAUGGACGCAAGUCUGAACCAGCCAUGCCGCGUGAAGGAUGAAGGUCCUCUGGAUUGUAAACUUCUUUUAUAGGGGAA
rnacentral:rRNA from 1 species